UCCCUAGCGGUCCAGUGGCUAAGACUCUGCGCUUCCAAAGCAGGAGGCCUGGGUUUGAUCCCCAGUCAGGGAA
rnacentral:tRNA from 1 species